GGUUAAGCGACUAAGCGUACACGGUGGAUGCCCUGGCAGUCAGAGGCGAUGAAGGACGUGCUAAUCUGCGAUAAGCGUCGGUAAGGUGAUAUGAACCGUUAUAACCGGCGAUUUCCGAAUGGGGAAACCCAGUGUGUUUCGACACACUAUCAUUAACUGAAUCCAUAGGUUAAUGAGGCGAACCGGGGGAACUGAAACAUCUAAGUACCCCGAGGAAAAGAAAUCAACCGAGAUUCCCCCAGUAGCGGCGAGCGAACGGGGAGCAGCCCAGAGCCUGAAUCAGUGUGUGUGUUAGUGGAAGCGUCUGGAAAGGCGCGCGAUACAGGGUGACAGCCCCGUACACAAAAAUGCACAUGCUGUGAGCUCGAUGAGUAGGGCGGGACACGUGGUAUCCUGUCUGAAUAUGGGGGGACCAUCCUCCAAGGCUAAAUACUCCUGACUGACCGAUAGUGAACCAGUACCGUGAGGGAAAGGCGAAAAGAACCCCGGCGAGGGGAGUGAAAAAGAACCUGAAACCGUGUACGUACAAGCAGUGGGAGCACGCUUAGGCGUGUGACUGCGUACCUUUUGUAUAAUGGGUCAGCGACUUAUAUUCUGUAGCAAGGUUAACCGAAUAGGGGAGCCGAAGGGAAACCGAGUCUUAACUGGGCGUUAAGUUGCAGGGUAUAGACCCGAAACCCGGUGAUCUAGCCAUGGGCAGGUUGAAGGUUGGGUAACACUAACUGGAGGACCGAACCGACUAAUGUUGAAAAAUUAGCGGAUGACUUGUGGCUGGGGGUGAAAGGCCAAUCAAACCGGGAGAUAGCUGGUUCUCCCCGAAAGCUAUUUAGGUAGCGCCUCGUGAAUUCAUCUCCGGGGGUAGAGCACUGUUUCGGCAAGGGGGUCAUCCCGACUUACCAACCCGAUGCAAACUGCGAAUACCGGAGAAUGUUAUCACGGGAGACACACGGCGGGUGCUAACGUCCGUCGUGAAGAGGGAAACAACCCAGACCGCCAGCUAAGGUCCCAAAGUCAUGGUUAAGUGGGAAACGAUGUGGGAAGGCCCAGACAGCCAGGAUGUUGGCUUAGAAGCAGCCAUCAUUUAAAGAAAGCGUAAUAGCUCACUGGUCGAGUCGGCCUGCGCGGAAGAUGUAACGGGGCUAAACCAUGCACCGAAGCUGCGGCAGCGACGCUUAUGCGUUGUUGGGUAGGGGAGCGUUCUGUAAGCCUGUGAAGGUGUACUGUGAGGUAUGCUGGAGGUAUCAGAAGUGCGAAUGCUGACAUAAGUAACGAUAAAGCGGGUGAAAAGCCCGCUCGCCGGAAGACCAAGGGUUCCUGUCCAACGUUAAUCGGGGCAGGGUGAGUCGACCCCUAAGGCGAGGCCGAAAGGCGUAGUCGAUGGGAAACAGGUUAAUAUUCCUGUACUUGGUGUUACUGCGAAGGGGGGACGGAGAAGGCUAUGUUGGCCGGGCGACGGUUGUCCCGGUUUAAGCGUGUAGGCUGGUUUUCCAGGCAAAUCCGGAAAAUCAAGGCUGAGGCGUGAUGACGAGGCACUACGGUGCUGAAGCAACAAAUGCCCUGCUUCCAGGAAAAGCCUCUAAGCAUCAGGUAACAUCAAAUCGUACCCCAAACCGACACAGGUGGUCAGGUAGAGAAUACCAAGGCGCUUGAGAGAACUCGGGUGAAGGAACUAGGCAAAAUGGUGCCGUAACUUCGGGAGAAGGCACGCUGAUAUGUAGGUGAAGCGACUUGCUCGUGGAGCUGAAAUCAGUCGAAGAUACCAGCUGGCUGCAACUGUUUAUUAAAAACACAGCACUGUGCAAACACGAAAGUGGACGUAUACGGUGUGACGCCUGCCCGGUGCCGGAAGGUUAAUUGAUGGGGUCAGCGCAAGCGAAGCUCUUGAUCGAAGCCCCGGUAAACGGCGGCCGUAACUAUAACGGUCCUAAGGUAGCGAAAUUCCUUGUCGGGUAAGUUCCGACCUGCACGAAUGGCGUAAUGAUGGCCAGGCUGUCUCCACCCGAGACUCAGUGAAAUUGAACUCGCUGUGAAGAUGCAGUGUACCCGCGGCAAGACGGAAAGACCCCGUGAACCUUUACUAUAGCUUGACACUGAACAUUGAGCCUUGAUGUGUAGGAUAGGUGGGAGGCUUAGAAGUGUGGACGCCAGUCUGCAUGGAGCCGACCUUGAAAUACCACCCUUUAAUGUUUGAUGUUCUAACGUUGACCCGUAAUCCGGGUUGCGGACAGUGUCUGGUGGGUAGUUUGACUGGGGCGGUCUCCUCCUAAAGAGUAACGGAGGAGCACGAAGGUUGGCUAAUCCUGGUCGGACAUCAGGAGGUUAGUGCAAUGGCAUAAGCCAGCUUGACUGCGAGCGUGACGGCGCGAGCAGGUGCGAAAGCAGGUCAUAGUGAUCCGGUGGUUCUGAAUGGAAGGGCCAUCGCUCAACGGAUAAAAGGUACUCCGGGGAUAACAGGCUGAUACCGCCCAAGAGUUCAUAUCGACGGCGGUGUUUGGCACCUCGAUGUCGGCUCAUCACAUCCUGGGGCUGAAGUAGGUCCCAAGGGUAUGGCUGUUCGCCAUUUAAAGUGGUACGCGAGCUGGGUUUAGAACGUCGUGAGACAGUUCGGUCCCUAUCUGCCGUGGGCGCUGGAGAACUGAGGGGGGCUGCUCCUAGUACGAGAGGACCGGAGUGGACGCAUCACUGGUGUUCGGGUUGUCAUGCCAAUGGCACUGCCCGGUAGCUAAAUGCGGAAGAGAUAAGUGCUGAAAGCAUCUAAGCACGAAACUUGCCCCGAGAUGAGUUCUCCCUGACCCUUUAAGGGUCCUGAAGGAACGUUGAAGACGACGACGUUGAUAGGCCGGGUGUGUAAGCGCAGCGAUGCGUUGAGCUAACCGGUACUAAUGAACCGUGAGGCUUAACCUU
rnacentral:rRNA from 1 species